rnacentral:rRNA from 1 species
CCUACGGGCUGCAGCAGUGGGGAAUAUUGCACAAUGGGCGCAAGCCUGAUGCAGCCAUGCCGCGUGUAUGAAGAAGGCCUUCGGGUUGUAAAGUACUUUCAGCGGGGAUGAAGGGAGUAAAGUUAAUACCUUUGCUCAUUGACGUUACCCGCAGAAGAAGCACCGGCUAACUCCGUGCCAGCAGCCGCGGUAAUACGGAGGGUGCAAGCGUUAAUCGGAAUUACUGGGCGUAAAGCGCACGCAGGCGGUUUGUCAAGUCGGAUGUGAAAUCCCCGGGCUCAACCUGGGAACUGCAUUCGAAACUGGCAGGCUAGAGCCUCGUAGAGGGGGGUAGAAUUCCAGGUGUAGCGGUGAAAUGCGUAGAGAUCUGGAGGAAUACCGGUGGCGAAGGCGGCCCCCUGGACGAAGACUGACGCUCAGGUGCGAAAGCGUGGGGAGCAAACAGGAUUAGAUACCCGCGUAGUC